GACGAACGCUGGCGGCGUGCUUAACACACGCAAGUCGAACGGAAAGGCCCUGCUUUUGUGGGUUGCUCGAGUGGCGAACGGGUGAGUAACACGUGAGUAACCUGCCCUUGACUUUGGGAUAACUUCAGGAAAAUGGGGCUAAUACCGGGUAGGAGCUCCUGCUGCAUGGUGGGGGUUGGAAAGUUUCGGCGGUUGGGGAUGGACUGGCGGCUUAUCAGCUUGUUGGUGGGGUAGUGGCUUACCAAGGCUUUGACGGGUAGCCGGCCUGAGAGGGUGACCGGCCACAUUGGGACUGAGAUACGGCCCAGACUCCUACGGGAGGCAGCAGGGGGGAAUAUUGCACAAUGGGCGGAAGCCUGAUGCAGCAACGCCGCGUGCGGGAUGACGGCCUUCGGGUUGUAAACCGCUUUCGCCUGUGACGAAGCGUGAGUGACGGUAAUGGGUAAAGAAGCACCGGCUAACUACGUG
rnacentral:rRNA from 1 species